UGAGUACGAGAUGCUACGGCAUCGAAGCAGUCUAUGUCAUACUUCCAAGAAAAGCUUGCAAUGUCAUAAACAAAUAAUGCCUGUACCAUAACCGACACAGGUGGGUAGGUAGAGUAUACUAAGGGGCGCGAGAUAACUCUCUCUAAGGAACUCGGCAAAAUGACUCCGUAACUUCGGGAGAAGGAGUGCCUUAUUUUUAUAAGGUUGCAAUAACAAGAUCCAAGCAACUGUUUACCAAAAACACAGGUCUCCGCUAAGUCGUAAGACGAUGUAUGGGGGCUGACGCCUGCCCAGUGCCAGAAGGUUAAAGAAGUUGGUUAGCAUUAGCGAAGCUGAUAACUGAAGCCCUGGUGAACGGCGGCCGUAACAAUAACGGUCCUAAGGUAGCGAAAUUCCUUGUCGGGUAAGUUCCGACCCGCACGAAAGGCGUAAUGAUUUGGAUACUGUCUCGGAGAGGGGCUCGGUGAAAUAGACUUGUCUGUGAAGAUGCGGACUACCUGCACCUGGACAGAAAGACCCUAUGAAGCUUUACUGUAACUUGAGAUUGAAAUUGGACUUUAUCUGCGCAGUAUAGGUGGGAGACGUUGAAAAUAUUCUUGCGGGAAUAUUGGAGUCAUCAGUGAGAUACCACUCUUAUAAUGUUAGAUUUCUAACUUUGUAUCAUUAUCUGGUCAGAGAACAGUUUCAGGCGGGCAGUUUGACUGGGGCGGUCGCCUCCCAAACGGUAACGGAGGCGCACAAAGGUUUCCUCUGAACGUGUAGAAAUCGUAUCUAGAGUGUAAAGGCAUAAGGAAGCUUGACUGUGAGACCUACAAGUCGAGCAGGGACGAAAGUCGGUCUUAGUGAUCUGACGGUGCUGAGUGGAAAGGCCGUCACUCAACGGAUAAAAGUUACUCUAGGAUAACAGGCUGAUCUCCCCCAAGAGUUCACAUCGACGGGGAGGUUUGGCACCUCGAUGUCGGCUCAUCGCAUCCUGGGGCGGUAGUACGUCCCAAGGGUUGGGCUGUUCGCCCAUGAAAGCGGUACGCGAGCUGGGUUCAGAACGUCGUGAGACAGUUCGGUCCAUAUCCGGUGUAGGCGUUAGAAUAUUGAGAGGAGCCUUCUUUAGUACGAGAGGACCGAGAAGGACAUACCUCUGGUGUACCAGUUAUCGUGCCAACGGUAAACGCUGGGUAGCCAUGUAUGGAGAGGAUAACCGCUGAAAGCAUCUAU
rnacentral:rRNA from 1 species